UACGGAGGGAGCUAGCGUUGUUCGGAAUUACUGGGCGUAAAGCGCACGUAGGCGGCUUUUUAAGUCAGGGGUGAAAUCCCGGGGCUCAACCCCGGAACUGCCCUUGAAACUGGAAAGCUAGAAUCUUGGAGAGGCGAGUGGAAUUCCGAGUGUAGAGGUGAAAUUCGUAGAUAUUCGGAAGAACACCAGUGGCGAAGGCGGCUCACUGGACUGGUAUUGACGCUGAGGUGCGAAAGCGUGGGGAGCAAACAGG
rnacentral:rRNA from 1 species